UGGGGAAUAUUGCACAAUGGGCGCAAGCCUGAUGCAGCGACGCCGCGUGGAGGAAGAAGGUCUUCGGAUUGUAAACUCCUGUUACGUGGGAAGAAAUGACGUUUUCGAAUAGGGAACGUAGCUGACUGUACCACUAGAGAAAGCACCGGCAAACUUCGUGCCAGCAGCCGCGGUAAUACGAAGGGUGCGAGCGUUAUUCGGAGUUACUGGGCGUAAAGAGCGCGUAGACGGUUUGUUAAGUUGUUUGUCAAAUUCCCUGGCUUAACUGGGGACCGGCAGAUGAAACUGGCAGACUAGAGUGUAAGAGAGAGAAGUAGAAUUCUCGGAGUAGCGGUAAAAUGCGUAGAUCUCGAGAGGAAUACCGGAGGCGAAGGCGGCUUCUUGGCUUACAACUGACGUUCAAGUGCGAAAGCGUGGGGAGCAAACAGG
rnacentral:rRNA from 1 species